UACGUAGGGUGCAAGCGUUGUCCGGAAUUAUUGGGCGUAAAGAGCUCGUAGGCGGUUUGUCGCGUCGGCUGUGAAAACUCGGGGCUCAACCCCGAGCCUGCAGUCGAUACGGGCAGACUAGAGUGCUGUAGGGGAGACUGGAAUUCCUGGUGUAGCGGUGGAAUGCGCAGAUAUCAGGAGGAACACCAGUAGCGAAGGCGGCU
rnacentral:rRNA from 1 species